CAUCAGAUUUUUCUAAUUUUUUUUUUUCUUUUUAGUGCAGAGUUGUGGAAUAAUGAGUCAUGGAUGAAAAGUAGAAACAGGAGAUUGACAAAUUGAAGAGAGAUGGUGACAAGACGUGGGAGAAGUACAGACAGCAUCUCUGAGAAUUACAAGAGCAAGGUCUGGCCAAAAGGGAGCUCCGUCUGCCUCCAGGGGUCAGUCUCUCCUUGAAAAUCCUUCCCCGAAUCGCCUGAAGCCACUUCUAAGGAUCACAGACUUUCAGUUUCCUACAGAAGACUCCACUACACCUGGGUGUUUUCAACUAAUAUAAUGAUGCGGGAUGAAACUAAAUCCACUGGUUUUAUUUAAGCCUCUGCAUCUCAGUGUGAAUCUAUAAUCUGGAUAAUCCUUACAUGCCAGGAGUUUUGGGGAGCAUGUGAGUACCUUAUUACAACGAUAUAAGCUGCUAUGGGAGUGAAGUGAGACAUUUUCAUGGUGCUAACGGGAAUCUAGGCAAAAGAACAAUGCUGCUUCCUCAGGAAAAUAAGCAUAAUGUGAUAAUAAUAAUAUCCUAAUGAGAGAAUACACGCCUUCAAGACAUUUUUGAAAAAAUAGACAUUUGGUAAAAUACCACAUGAUUUUAUGAACCCAAGUGCUUACAACUAAGGUGGGUUAAUAUCUAGACCUGAGGGAGUGUGCCUGUCUCUAUGAGUCUGUUUCGUGCAACCUUUAACCUACAUU